rnacentral:rRNA from 1 species
UAUACAACUUUCAGCAACGGAUCUCUUGGCUCUCGCAUCGAUGAAGAACGCAGCGAAAUGCGAUAAGUAAUGUGAAUUGCAGAAUUCAGUGAAUCAUCGAAUCUUUGAACGCACCUUGCGCUCCUUGGUAUUCYGAGGAGCAUGCCUGUUUGAGUGUCAUUAAAUUCUCAAC